rnacentral:snRNA from 1 species
GAAAGGACCUCAAAAGGUAUAAUCGCAAAGGUGGUUUUCCUAGGGCGAGGCUUAUUAUCCAUUGUACUCCAUAUGUGCUGACCCCUUGCAAGCUCCCCAAAUGCGGGAAAGUACAUAAUUUGUGGUAGUGGGCGACUGCGUUCAGAACACAGCCCCAUC